rnacentral:rRNA from 1 species
CCAGACUCCUACGGGAGGCAGCAGUGGGGAAUAUUGGGCAAUGGGCGCAAGCCUGACCCAGCAACGCCGCGUGAAGGAAGAAGGCUUUCGGGUUGUAAACUUCUUUUGACAGGGAAGAGCAGAAGACGGUACCUGUCGAAUAAGCCACGGCUAACUACGUGCCAGCAGCCGCGGUAAUACGUAGGUGGCAAGCGUUGUCCGGAUUUACUGGGUGUAAAGGGCGUGUAGCCGGGCUUACAAGUCAGAUGUGAAAUCCGGGGGCUCAACCCCCGAACUGCAUUUGAAACUGUAGGUCUUGAGUAUCGGAGAGGCAGACGGAAUUCCUAGUGUAGCGGUGAAAUGCGUAGAUAUUAGGAGGAACACCAGUGGCGAAGGCGGCCUGCUGGGCUUUUACUGACGCUGAGGCUCGAAAGUGUGGGGAGCAAACAGGAUUAGAUACCCGUGUAU